rnacentral:rRNA from 1 species
CAGUCGCCGCGGGAACACGAAGGGUGCAAGCGUUACUCGGAAUUACUGGGCGUAAAGCGUGCGUAGGUGGUGGUUUAAGUCCGUUGUGAAAGCCCUGGGCUCAACCUGGGAAUUGCAGUGGAUACUGGGUCACUAGAGUGUGGUAGAGGAUAGUGGAAUUUCCGGUGUAGCAGUGAAAUGCGUAGAGAUCGGAAGGAACAUCUGUGGCGAAGGCGACUAUCUGGGCCAACACUGACACUGAGGCACGAAAGCGUGGGGAGCAAACAGGAUUAGAUACCCGUGUAGUCCCUGUCUCUUAUAC